GACAUAUAAUGGCUUAAGCUGCUGUACAAGAUACAAGUAAAAGGACAUUAAACCUCACUGCUGUGGCCAGACUCACUGGUCAUCAGGGUCUAACACAUGGUGUGUCUUUGAGGGGCUGAGUCACACGAGCAGAGCCCAAUAAAUUAAAAAGCAGUGUACAACCAGCCUGAAGCAAUGGGUAGCACUUCUGACAAAUGCCUGCAGUAGCUCAUGUCCCGUGAGAAGAUUUAUCUCCAGACCUACAGGUUCCCUUCAGGAACACUCCAGGGACACUUUCACCAGCACCACCAUCUAAUAUUAGUUUUAUUACAGGCAGAGAACAGAGAGAGCUGCCAAAGAGGAGAUCAAGGGAUGGGUUGAUGUUCAACCAGAGGAGAAUUUAACAGUCCAAGACAGUGGUUAAUUUUUCAAGCAAAAAAACGAAUAACCUGCUCAAACAUGAAUGAGAAAAUCUGAGUCUCAGCCAGUUUUUAUUGGAAAAUAUCAGUAGAAACAUGGAAAAAUCUUGGAAAGAAGCGUCUAUAUAAGAGGAGUUUUGUUGUGCUGCCCCCUCUGAUGGUGGAGGGAAGCUCAGAGCACUGGAGCCAAAGCAGGGCCAGGAGCAGGAGCAAAGGGAAGAGGAAGAGGAUGUUGAGGCAGGAGGCAGGUGCAGGUGCAGUUCCUCACACAAACCCCACUGGCAAUUGGAAACUAGAAUAAACCCUUCUUUUCAGCUCGUGGAAGCUGGAUAUCUAACCCUCUAGAAGAAAAAAUGGCUAUUUAGACCUUGACUUUUUUUAAAUUGCCUUGAAAAUCUCACUAAUUGAGUAAAUAAAAUAUUCAGUCCUAAAAUUUAGUUUAAAUGUUGUGAGCUUUGUGUGUGUGUUUGUGAUUGU